rnacentral:tRNA from 1 species
CCCUGUAGUAUAAGGCUUUCCAUCUUGAUUUGUAAUCAGGGGGUCGCGGGUUCGAACCCUGCCGGGGGCACCA